AAAGUGCAGAAGCGAAGGAGUCGUCGACAGGGUUAGGAUCUCAGCUCAAUGGAUAACAAGAAAUUUCUCUUAAAAUUAUGUUCUAUUUUGUUAACACUGCACGUUACAGAAGCCAGCAACGAUGUUUCUUCGUUUCAACUGCUCGCCCGCCUUUCAUUCCCAACCGUAGAAACA
rnacentral:lncRNA from 1 species